GUAUCAAAGCUCCGGCGGUACAGGAUGGACCCGCGUCUGAUUAGCUAGUUGGUGAGGUAACGGCUCACCAAGGCGACGAUCAGUAGCCGACCUGAGAGGGUGAUCGGCCACAUUGGAACUGAGACACGGUCCAAACUCCUACGGGAGGCAGCAGUGGGGAAUAUUGCACAAGGGGCGAAAGCCUGAUGCAGCAACGCCGCGUGAGCGAAAAGGGCCUUCGGGUCGUAAAGCUCUGUCCUCAAGGAAGAUAAUGAC
rnacentral:rRNA from 1 species